GUGAGUCAUCGAAUCUUUGAACGCACAUUGCGCCCUUUGGUAUUCCGAAGGGCAUGCCUGCUCGAGCGUCAUUUAACCUCUCAAGCCUUGCUUGGUGUUGGGCGCGGUCCUAGGACCCUCCCGUAACUCGUUGGCGGCACCGUCCGGCUUCAAGCGUAGCAAGAUUUCAAAUCCCUCGCUUUCGAAGCUUCCGGUCGGCGCCUGCCGGUUAACCUCAACCUAAAGUUUGACCUCGGAUCAGGUAGGGAUACCCGCUGAACUUAAGCAUAUCAAUAAGCGGAGGA
rnacentral:misc_RNA from 1 species